UACGUAGGUGACCAGCGUUGUCCGGAUUUACUGGGCGUAAAGAGCGCGCAGGCGGUCGUUCAAGUCGAGUGUGAAAGCCCCCGGCUCAACUGGGGAGGGUCAUUCGAUACUGAUCGACUCGAAGGCAGGAGAGGGAAGUGGAAUUCCCGGUGUAGUGGUGAAAUGCGUAGAUAUCGGGAGGAACACCAGUGGCGAAGGCGACUCUUUGGCCUGUAACUGACGCUGAGGCGCGAAAGCGUGGGGAGCAAACAGG
rnacentral:rRNA from 1 species